rnacentral:rRNA from 1 species
GACGAACCGUGCAAACGUUGUUCGGAAUCACUGGGCUUAAAGGGCGCGUAGGCGGAAGGUCAAGUCCGAGGUGAAAUCUUUCGGCUCAACCGGAAAAGUGCCUUGGAUACGGAUCUUCUCGAGGGAGGUAGGGGCAUGUGGAACUUCCGGUGGAGCGGUGAAAUGCGUAGAUAUCGAGAGGAACACCUGCGGCGAAGGCGGGUUGCUGGGCUGACACUGACGCUGAGGCGCGAAAGCCAGGGGAGCGAACGGG